rnacentral:rRNA from 1 species
AACGAACGCUGGCGGCAUGCCUAACACAUGCAAGUCGAACGAGACCUUCGGGUCGAGUGGCGCACGGGUGCGUAACGCGUGGGAACCUGCCCUUAGGUUCGGAAUAACUCCCCGAAAGGGGUGCUAAUACCGGAUAAUUUCUUCGUACCAAAGAUUUAUCGCCUUUGGAUGGGCCCGCGUUGGAUUAGCUAGUUGGUAGGGUAAAAGCCUACCAAGGCGACGAUCCAUAGCUGGUCUGAGAGGAUGAUCAGCCACACUGGGACUGAGACACGGCCCAGACUCCUACGGGAGGCAGCAGUGGGGAAUAUUGGACAAUGGGCGAAAGCAUGAUCCAGCAAUGCCGCGUGAGUGAUGAAGGCCUUAGGGUUGUAAAGCUCUUUUACCCGGGAUGAUAAUGACAGUACCGGGAGAAUAAGCUCCGGCUAACUCCGUG